rnacentral:lncRNA from 1 species
UUCAGAUUCAUUAGCAUAAGAUUUGUCAACAUCGUCUUCAAUUUCUGUAGAUUUUCUUUUCUUGUCGCAGGUUUUUUUAACUUUUUUCUCCUUUGGAGAAGGAGUGUUCUUCAACCCCUUCUUUUUUCAAAACUUUGGUAAUCUUCGCUACGUCGAUGCGAAACUUCGACCUAAUCUCCUUCGAUCUCUCAAAUUUGUUCAACUGUAAAGGAUUUGAAACAACUCUAACUAAAUCUUCUUGAGUUAACCCAAGACUAAAAGAUGGUGCAUCAGACAGUAAAUUCAUAAUACUUGUAACACUGAUUGUAAGUGUUUUUGCUAUGUGUUCAUCCAUUAAAACACAAAAUUCUUAAACUCUGAUUUUUAGAUGAACUAAAGUAGAACAAAAAACAUUAAACCGCUAACAUGCAAUUAAUAGUUACCUGAAAUCGGCGAACCAAAUCCUUUCACAGAUCGUGGAGGAAUCAUGCAAAGGGCGGGAUUAAUGGUUAAUGGAGUAAAAAAAGGAAGUAAAAAUUUAAAAAUAAGGAAAGAUAAUGAAAACUGAGUGAAAAGGGAGAUUUUAUCACAGUAAAAAUAAUUAGGCGGCAAAAAAGUAGGGGACCACUUAAAAUAAUGCUAUAAAUGCUACAUAAUGUAAUUAUAAAAAAAUAUUACUAUUUUUUGUAAUUUAAUACUUAGGUAUGAUAUGUCGUGUAUUUUUUCCAUUUUGGAACAAACAAACAUUAACUAGAUGGGUGGGCAUGAUUUUGGAACAAACAAACACAUGCAUGAAUUCUAGUCAUUGCUGAUAACCGUUCACCUUCGAAUUGACCAUUCUACGUACGUUGAUUAAUUAAUUGAUAAAAGUUUUAUUAGAAGAAAAUGCAUUUUCAGUUAGUUAAAUACAAAUAUGUGUAAUACCUGCAUAUACCUAAGAUUCUUGUUAUGUAUCCUGUUACGAUUCUGGUAUAUUUUGCAGACCCAAAAGGCAAAAGUAAAGGUAGGUGUGUGUUAAUUAGUGGAGGUGGUAGGUCCUUUUUUGAAUAGAAGAACCUAUAUAUAUAUAUAUAUAUAUAAGGUCCAAAAGCAAAGGAACUGCAAUGCAGUCAUCCCAUAGGCGCACUAUAGUGACUUGCCAUUCAUCUUUUUAGGAAGCAUUUCUUAAUAUUUUGACAUCUUCAUUACAUAAAAAUAGAUUGAAACUGAAAUAUUUCAUAAUGUUAAGGCUUUUGUCCCUUAUCUAUAUAAAAAUAAUUUUAAAAUAUCCUAAAAAAUGAAUGGAACUUUUAAAAAAAAUAAAAUUAAGGGGUAGAGCAAUUAAUGGGACUUAGUACCUGUUCAGACAUAUAAUUCAAUAAACCCCCAACUUCCCAAGCCCCUUUUCCUCCAAAAUUUUAUUGAAAUGUCCAUAAUAUCUACCUGUAUAAUUAAGUAAAAACAUAUAUAAUUUGAAAUGUGCAAUACUUGUGCAAAGAUUGUGUAUGCAAAAAGGAAACAAUGCAGGUAAAAUCUUCCGUAUAUUUUUUGUUAUGAAAAUAUUGUGGGUUAACUAGGACACCAUCAUAAAUAGAAAAAAAGAGAAAAAAAUAACAUAAGAACUUCACGAGUUUUGACUAGGACUAACCCUUCAAGCAUAAACCCAAAAAGUUUCCACUAGGAAAAAGUCUUACAAUAUAUUAUAAUCUUUCUCGUGACCAACUAUACCGGCUCUUACAUACUUCUUAUUAGAACCAAAAUUUCCCCUCUUCUGGUUAAAAUCUAAUGCUUCUUAGAAAAUUUUUACAACCAUCUUCACCAAUGCAAAAACUAUUAUUUUGGUCUAAAUUUUGUAAUAAUUAGCUUAUAAGUUCAAAUCAACAUAUGAACAACAAAUAAAGUGCAAACUAUCUAAAAGAAAAUAGUAAACCGACAAAAGAAAUAGAUGAAGAUUACCUAUUUUUAGAGCUAAUUUCCUUUUUUGAAGUUUUUGCUAUUAAGAAAAGGGUAUGGGCCUGGACUUCUGUAAAAUAGCCUUGAAUGCCAAUUUUGACGAUUCUGUUAGCAUCAAAAUGUCAAUUUUAGGCUAGAGAGACUCUUAGUUUGGAUCUGAAACUUCCAAACUCAUUUUAGACUAUUGGGUGGAUUUGGCUAAAACGACAGUUUGGGUGUGGGAUCCACUUUUGAUUGAAAUGACAUUGGAUGAAAAUUUUGAUGGUUUAGUUGAUUCCAAAAUGUAAAAUUUGAAAGAAUAACAUAGUUUUUCUGCAUUCACUAGAUUCAAAAUGAAUCCCGAGGGACUGAUAAAAACUGUGGCAAAUUAGCCAAAUUAUUGAUGCUGGUGCAUCUGGUUCAUGUUAUGAAUGACCCUUCCAUUGAGAGGCCUUACUGCAUUUUCGAAGGUCAAGGAUUUCUAACCUCCGCUUUCGCGAGCUAGCCUUCGCGUCUGUGAAGGGUCAGGUAGUCGAUCG